rnacentral:rRNA from 1 species
GACAGAGGUUGCAAACGUUGUUCGGAAUUACUGGGCAUAAAGCGCACGUAGGCGGUUCGUUAAGUCAUGUGUGAAAUCCCUCGGCUCAACCGAGGAAUUGCGCCUGAUACUGGCGGGCUAGAGAUCGAUAGGGGUGAGUGGAACUCCAGGUGGAGCGGUGAAAUGCGUAGAUAUCUGGAGGAACACCGGUGGCGAAAGCGGCUCACUGGAUCGAUACUGACGCUGAGGAGCGAAAGCGUGGGUAGCAAACAGG